CACGUAGUUGGCCGGUGCUUCUUCUGCAGGUACCGUCUGAAUUCGUCCCUGCUGAAAGAGGUUUACAACCCGAAGGCCUUCAUCCCUCACGCGGCGUCGCUGCGUCAGGCUUUCGCCCAUUGCGCAAUAUUCCCCACUGCUGCCUCCCGUAGGAGUCUGGGCCGUGUCUCAGUCCCAGUGUGGCCGAUCGCCCUCUCAGGCCGGCUACCCGUCGUCGCCUUGGUAGGCCAUCACCCCACCAACAAGCUGAUAGGCCGCGGGCCCAUCCUCAGCCGAAAAACUUUCCACCACCCACGAUGCCGCAGGAGGUCGUAUCCGGUAUUAGCCACGGUUUCCCGAGGUUGUCCCAGAGCUGAGGGCAGGUUGCCCACGUGUUACUCACCCGUUCGCCGCUCCGUCACUCCGAGGAGCGCGUCGCUCGACUUGCAUGUGUUAAGCACGCCGCCAGCGUGUCUCGAGCACGAGUCAACUACUACUGAGACUGCACGACGACACACGGAA
rnacentral:rRNA from 1 species